rnacentral:rRNA from 1 species
AAUGAACGUUGGCGGCGUGGAUUAGGCAUGCAAGUCGAGCGAGAACCCCGCAAGGGGGGACAGCGGCGUAAGGGACAGUAAUGUGUAGAUCAUCUGCCCUCAGGUCCGGGAUAGCUGCGGGAAACUGCAGGUAAUACCGGAUAACAUCUCCGGAUCAAAGGUGUGAUUCCGCCUGAGGAUGAGUCUGCAUCCUAUUAGCUAGUUGGCAGGGUAACGGCCUACCAAGGCAUUGAUGGGUAGCGGGUGUGAGAGCACGACCCGCGUCAUUGGGACUGAGACACUGCCCAGACACCUACGGGGGCUG